GACGAACGCUGGCGGCGUGCCUAAUACAUGCAAGUAGAACGCUGAAGAGAGGAGCUUGCUCUUCUUGGAUGAGUUGCGAACGGGUGAGUAACGCGUAGGUAACCUGCCUGGUAGCGGGGGAUAACUAUUGGAAACGAUAGCUAAUACCGCAUAAAAUUGAUUAUUGCAUGAUAAUUAAUUGAAAGAUGCAACUGCAUCACUACCAGAUGGACCUGCGUUGUAUUAGCUAGUUGGUGAGGUAACGGCUCACCAAGGCGACGAUACAUAGCCGACCUGAGAGGGUGAUCGGCCACACUGGGACGGAGACACGGCCCAGACUCCUACGGGAGGCAGCAGUAGGGAAUCUUCGGCAAUGGGGGGAGCCCUGACCGAGCAACGCCGCGUGAGUGAAGAAGGUUUUCGGAUCGUAAAGCUCUGUUGUAAGAGAAGAACGGGUGCGAGAGUGGAAAGUUCACACUGUGACGGUAGCUUACCAGAAAGGGACGGCUAACUACGUG
rnacentral:rRNA from 1 species